AGAUUACAGACAGUAAUGAAAUGAUGCCUGAUGCACUGCCUGGUGCAGCAUGGUCCGGCCCCCGCCAAGGCUCAGAUGCACGUAGGCAGUCAUUGGAAGCUUGUGCAGAGGGGGCUCCUGACGUUCUGUGCUAUUUUAUAACACACUUCAAAGCCUGUGCAAUGUGAGAGGCGACCGGGCUGUGUGGCCGGGGGAACACAGAGCCCGGGGAGUCUGCAAAAGCCUUUUGGGCUUUGUCCUAAGAUCACUGGAAGCCAUAGAAGGACUCUGGAACGGGGUGAUGACACGAUGCGUGCUUUAGGAUGACCGCGCUGGACUGCUGUGGGGAGGCAAAAGUCAAAGUUUUAUGGCUCCACAAAGCACAACUGCCCGAAGACGACUCCUGGAGGGUUGCUGGGUGUCCAGUGUCACCUGACAGCGACGCAUCCGCCCCGUCCCCUCGCACGGAUGGUGUAUCCCGGGUCUUCAUCACAGCGCUUACGGAGCACGUUAGGGGGACGUGCAGAGUAAAAUGGAAAAGCACUCGAUCACAUGGAAUUACAGGGUCAAAGAAAGCACCUAAUGGUGGCCCAUAAACCUCCAUGACACAGAAAGUUAGAAAUAAGUGAAGUCAAAGAAGUCAGGAUGUGUGACAGAGACAGGGCAGCCACGGCCCAAAGUAAGCGCUGGGGCUGGAGUUGGAGGUUAUUCACGGGAGCCACGUGGUGGUGCGGCUUACUAUCAAGUCAGAGCACACAAGUCAGCUUGAAAGGCUCAGGGAGCUCUCGGGACACGCUCGAGAUCUUCAGCAUGGCUUCUGAUCUCAGCGCAAGGGGUCACUGGAAGCAGGAAGAAGACGCUGCACUGUUGAGUCCAAAAUCUGCAGGCGGGAAACUCUGGGUUCCUAUUGCUCUUGACAAGAACUGUUUCUUGGUCGGGAACCCUCAGUCCUUGCUCUUAAGAUCUUCAGCUGAUUGGACGAGGCCCACCCACAGUUUGGAGGGCAUUCUGUGUGAUUCGACGUCCGCUGAAUCAAUAUCAAUCACAUUGACAAAUAUCUACAUAACUACAGCUAGCUGGUAUUUAGCUAAAUGGCUGAGCACUGUUUUGGAUCAAGAUAUACCAUAGCAGUGUGUAAAAUAUGCACAGAUUUCAGAGUUGGUAGGAUAAAAACAGACUGUUUUAUUUAUUUUUGCAGUGCUGGGGAUGGAACUCUGGACUUUUCUCAUGCUAGACAAAUCUUUACCACUGAGCUACACUCACAGCCCAAGAAUGCAAUUUGUUUAUUUAUUUAUACUUUUGAGACAGGGUCUCCCUGUGCAAUUCAAGCUGGCCCUGAGCUCACUUUGUAGCCCAGGCUGGUCUUGAACUUGCAACGAUCCUCCUGCCUCAGCUUCCUGAGUGCUGGGAUUACAGGCGUGAGCCAACCAUGCCCAGCUCCAAGAAGGUAAUUUUAAAAAAUAUUGGUUACACGUUGAAAGAAUAUCUUAGACAACUUUGGCCAAAUACAAAUACUUUAAACUGGUUUACCUAUUUAUUUGCAUUUCUUGGAAGAUGCAGCUGCGGAGAAAUCUAAGUUGCCCUUGAGGCAGGCGUUUCUGGCUUGCACGGUAGCUCUUUGGGAGGUGCUGCUUCUCUCCUUCAGACCUUCUGCUGGGACCCUGACCAGCUGGUUCUCGGUCAUCUCUGCUGGUGGAGCUUGGUGGGCAUAGAGAUAAAUACUUGGUGAAGUGAAGUUCUCUUGUUGCUGGGGGGAUUCAGGUCCAGAAGCUAUUAUAGUGCACCUGAAAAAGAAAAGAUGUUGUUCCUGUUCCCCUACUUCGUAUCUUCCUGAGAGAACUAAAGGCAUCAUAGCACAGGGAGAUAUGCACACCCAUGUUUAUGGCAGCACAGUUUGUAACAGAGAAAUCUUGGGCACAGGCCAAAUGCCCAUCCACCAAUGAGUGGAUAAAGAAGAUAUGCGAUUUGUUAAUACAGUGGAGUACUACUCUGCCAUAAAGGAGGAUAAGCUUGAGACUUUUCUAGAAAAAUGGAUGCACCUUGAGACCAUACCCUUAAAUGAGGUAAAUUAAAGUCACAUGUUGAAAUACUAAA